rnacentral:rRNA from 1 species
GAAUAUUGGUCAAUGGGGGGAACCCUGAUCCAGCCAUGCCGCGUGUGUGAAGAAGGCCUUUUGGUUGUAAAGCACUUUAAGCGAGGAGUAGGCUACUCUAGUUAAUCCUUAACGAUAGUGGACGUUACUCGCAGAAUAAGCACUGCCUAACUCUGUGCCAGCAGCCGCGGUAAUACAGAGGGUGCAAGCGUUGCUCGGAUAUACUGGGCGUAAAGCGCACUUCAAUUGACAAGUCAGAAUGAUGUUAGAACCCCGAGCGUCACAUUGUACGUGCGUUCGAUACUAAUGGGCUAUAUUGUGGGGGAAGAUGUUACUAUCCCUCUUCUACCCCUGAUAACCGGAGACUUCUGGAGGCCUACCCCUGUCGAAGCCAUCCUUCUGGCAUACUACUGACACUGAGGUGCUAAAGCAUGGGGGGCAAACA